UUAACACUAUAUUAUUUAUUUAUAUUAUAUUUUCGCACAAUCGUCACUGACUAUGUUUUUGAACAUUAUUUAUUUAAACCUGAUUUAGAAACACGUCACGUAGGCCUUUUGUUUUGCAAUGGAUCAGUGAAUGAAAGAAACUUUGGUUGGUCGUAGAAUAGUGUCAGAGAAUAACUAGACUAAUGCGAUAUUUUGAAAACAUUAUCUAUUGUGUAUUAGAUAUAUGUGUUGUUGUUUGAUUAAUUAUAUGCAAGUUUAUCUUAUAUUUAGACUCUAUGUGUGUUUGCAAUAAUAUUUAAAAAAAAGCAUAUGCCAACUACUACUACUAGCCAUAGUAAUUAAAAUCUAAAGUUUAAGUAGCAAUAUUAAAUGGACAGAUUAAAAUAACAAUAAGCCGUUUUAUUUCUGUGCGGAUAUUCAAAAUGAUAUUUGUUUACAACAUACCGUAUGGAUAUAUUUAGAUUUUACAAUUAAUUAAACACAAAAUAGAGUGAAUACCGCAGUCGGUAUAGCAGUAGGCUAGAUACUCUUUUAGCUUGAUAGGCAUUGCCAUUUGUUCGAAUCAUGAAAGUUCUUAAAUUUUGUGUUAGUAUGUGCAUGUUAUAUAAUUCAAUUAUUAUUAAAUAGCCACUUCAUUGUUGUUUUAAAUAAACUGAUAUACUCAGUAUAUAAAUUAUCAAUUGAUUAACGCAUAUUUAAAUAUUUCAUUACACUUUUAUUUUGUUAAAAAACAAACAAACACAUUUAAGACUAAUUAGUAUGUUUAAGGCCACGCACGUUGUCACGUAGACAGCUGGUUUGCGGGUGUUAAAAAGGCUUACAGACAAAGCGACGUAAAGACAAUGGACAAGUUGAGUUGGAAGCGGUUGUGGACGGAUCGAGUAGCACUAUAAACGCUGCAGUUCGUUUCCCAGCGUGGUGGUGGUGUAACUGGAAGUCAUUCAAAGGCAAACACUUCAAUGCGCUACCUAGCAUACGGAAAUAUCAGUACUUCCGAUUUAUGUCUGCCUACCCCGGCGUUGUCAUUCGAAGAAAUGCAGCGACGGUGAAGAAACCUGUUUGUGUUUAUUGAAGAACCCAGCUUUCCUCUUCACGAUCACCGACCGGCCAGUGCAGCUGCUCGCUCUUGGAUUAUCUGCAGCACGGCGCGACUACUUGCGUGAUAACGUGCGACCUCUAGUGUCAGCUCGGGGUCAGGAAGGCUUCGCGUGUGAGACAGAAUGUGACAUGUUUACUGUUCAGGGGUGGCAAAAUCUCAAAAAACUAUACUUGUCCACGGACAACCAUUUAGGAAAUUUAACUUGUCCGUUGCUGAACUACACUUGUCCGUUAAUGUUUACAUGUAUAUAAAUUAUAAACGCAUUUAUUGAUUAAUGUUAAAUAAUGUGGAAUAUAUCAAAAUGAGCAUGAUUUGCUUGUUUUGUUUAUAAUUGUAUUUCAAUGGUACAUUCAUUAUAGCAGUAUAUUAUAAACAAUAUAAAGACUUUCUCAAACUUUAAAUCUUGCGAAGCUAGUGUUAUUAAAAGAUGUGUUGAACAUAAGUACAUUGUAAUCUUAACAAAUUAAACUAGUCCAAUAUGUGGACCUCAUCAGACUGAGGCUCUGCACCGCUACUGGUAGCAAUUUGAUUAUCAUCAACUGGUAACCAUUGAAAUCUCUGAGCCAAGUUUCUUAAAAAGUUCUGGUGCGUUUACUUAGAUCAUAUUUUUCAUCAUAAUCUUUCUUAGUUUUUUGGGAGGUGGGCUGCUCAAAGCUUCGGGUUUCUGCUCCGUGGUUGAAGAUUAAAAAAAAGUUUCAUCUUUACCGUUAUAGUCGUCUUAAAUAACAAGGUAGACCGUGUUUUGAUUAUCUUCGUUUGAUACGUUUUAUUUCCGUCUGAUUGUAAAAAUAAAGAAACCAGUCUGUACACUGUCUAACAGUCGGACCGAAUGUUGAAAAUGCGGCAUGCUCGCGGUCUCUUAUAGAAACAGGGAGUCCACUGCGCAGGAGAGUGCACGUAUUUUAGCUUGAUUGCUCCGCAAAUAGCACUGACAAUGUAAUCGCGUGUCAACAUCCGGUUUUGUAAAACUUAAUUAAAGCUUUAAUACAAUGUAUUUAUGUAUACCUAGACGCGACUUUAAAAAAACUUGUUGUCCACGGACAACAUAAUUGAAAAAAAUCAGUUGCCCAGACAAGCAAAUGUACGACUCGGGCAACUCGGACAUUUGAUUUCGCCACCCCUGCUGUUCUAACUGUGCGUAGUGUUUAUUUUACCAGUUUUAGUUAAUGUAUUAUGCAUUCUGUACGUUUGUUUGUAUAACAAAUACAUAUAAACAUACCGAUUUCAUUUAAAUUAUCAAACAAACUACGGCAUUUAUGUUCGUGAAGUACAACAUUAAUUAAUAUUUACACAUUAUAUGACAUAACCAAACAAUAACACAUUUAUGUCAUCGGUAUCAACAACACCAUUGUUGAAAUUUUAAAGAAUGAUGACGUACAUUUCCAAAUAAAAUAUAUACGACGUGAGUUCGAAAAUAAAAUGAAAUAUGACGCGGCGUCAAAAUAACGACGUAAUGACGCUCACUUAAGCGUCACAUGGGUUAACGAAAAUGUAAAUAAGUUUAGGUUAUAGUCUGAAAAGUAUGACAUUGUAUACAUAUAUGGAACCGGAAAAGAACGUAGAUACCGAAAAAGAAAAAAAGUAAAAAUCGAAAAUUUUGUCAUUUUUGCUUGUUUUCUCAUGGCGCGAUUAAUAAUUAUAUAUAUAUUCCUGAACCCCCGUUAGCAGCAUUCAGAAGAGACUGCAACCUUCAAGACAUAUUGGUUCAUAAAAAGCACAACCGGAUGUUUUUCCGAGUUCACAACAGGAGCGGACCUUGUGGGGCACAGAGGUGCGCAAUCUGUCCAUACAUGAUGGAGGCUGAAAAGUUCAGCGACACCACCGGAAAAAGCUACAAUGUGCGGAACGAGGUCACUUGCAAAUCCACCAAUGUAGUCUACGCUGUACACUGCGAACGGUGUAAGACCUUCGUAUACGUAGGAGAAACGGGAGAUACCUUGUACCAGCGACAUCUUCUUAACCUGUCCCGCAUACGGACUCGACACAACGACCCGGUAGCCGAGCACUUCUACACAAAAGGCCACAGCGUCGCAGACUUCCGGGUCAUGGCACUCGAAAAAUUAAAUGGAUCCGACGAGUACCGGAAGACCAUCGAACAACUUUGGAAGCGCAAACUGAGGACGUUCAAACCAUAUGGACUAAACACAAAAGACUAAAAUUGGCGCGCAAUGUAACGUGCGAUAAUAUAACGUCACUUCCGCUAAAGAUGAUAUGCUUAUUCACAAAUAAACGCCGCUGAAGAAGACCGAGAGGUCGAAAGCUACGGCAAAUUUAAUAAAAGCGUUUUAUUUUAUUUAUAUAUAUAUAUCAAAAUAGUCAAGAAUGUGCGUUUUAUUUAAUGUGUGAUAAUGCCAACAUUAUCACUUAAAUGGAUAUGCAUCACGAUUAUUGAUUAACCAUGCCGUAUUAUAACGAAAACAAAGAUAUUCCAUACGGUGGUUAUUUCCUAGCUUUGUUGUAAUGUACGCUUUCAAAACGUUAUUUUUACAAUGUCAUUUGCAAGAAAGCUUAAUGUUUAAGGUAUAUUUGUGUGUAUACCACUUUAUUAAGCAAAUGAAAAUGUAUACUUAGACGGCAACAACUGUACAAUGUGUAUACAUGUAUAUGCAGGGGGAAAAUAAUAAAUGUGCAAUAUUUA